CAAAUGAACCGCCAAGGAUUCAAUCCCAGACUCCAUUUCCGCUAUCUUGAUUGUUGGUGUUUUCUUCAUAUCCGUUCGUUCUGAUUUUUAGUUCCCGGAGUGAUUCCUGAAAUGCUACUCGCAUUCUCACUAAGAUCGAACUCUAGGUCGUGCCUCUGCUCUGGAGUCCACCGAUAAAUCAGCGUGGCCUAGAAUUAGCCACUGAUAGCCGGUUGGCGGGAAUCUUGGCGCAGUUCCGAGAUGGGAUCCGGAGAGAUCCCGUUUUGUAUAUGCGUUGGGAUUCCCGCCAGCUGCUCGCUGGAGUGGGUGGGAUGUUGGGGGAAAAAUCCUUGUUUAAAGUCCAGAAUUUUCGUGAGAGGUAUCAUGAAAGAUAUCUUAUCAACUGAGAGGUGCAUACUAAAGCCAAGUUUUUUAGAAAGGCAAACUUCCCUAUUUACGAUCAGCUAGACAUAUUAAUACAAGGUGUUGAGCCAAAAGUUUCUAUCUCACUGGAAAGCUUUGAUCAAGUGCAGGUGUGGUUUUGUUAUUUCUUUAACUCUGCUUGAAAGCAACUGAUCUUAUCUCUCUUCAUGAAUUCAAACGACGGAAUCUUUUUAUUUCCUUCAUCUUUUCCUUUAAUCUACGAACUUUGCCAUUUUGCAUUCAGAAUGCUUCUGAUUUUGAACUUCCAGAUUUGUUACAAAUGCAUUAGGCAAUGUGAUACCUGGAGUCUGUGGUGUUCAUAAUCGACGGCAGGUUAGGUUCUCAUUGAUAAACAUUAUAUUGUAAAGUGGCAUUCAUGAACAAAUGCACAAUGAUUGGCAUUCUAAAUUGAUCAACUCGAACAAAUUUCUGU